rnacentral:sRNA from 1 species
ACUAAUUACAAGAACCAGGGGCGGAAAAUUCAGCCCUCUCGAUUGUUACGUAGCACGGACAGACUAUACGCCUGAUGGUCGUUCCCCAUCGGGCCUGAAAACCGCAAUACGCUGGGUAACAAUCUUCGAGGGUAGCAGUUAACGCUGCUACCCUCUUUUUUCUG